rnacentral:tRNA from 1 species
GGGCGAUUAGCUCAGUUGGUUAGAGCGCUACGUUGACAUCGUAGAGGUCGGAAGUUCGAGUCUUCUAUCGCCCACCA